rnacentral:rRNA from 1 species
UUAAGCCAUGCAAGUGGUUAUAUCAACCCGACAGUUUAAAUAAGUGUUAAAUUGCUACACAUUAUAAACGCAACAUUAUUCAUCUACAUACAGUGAAUACUUUUUACACAGUAUCACUUACGCAACUGCAGACAGCUGCUUAAUACAGUCACACUUGUCUUGACUUGGCUAUUAAAUAUUAUGCUAUAGCAUAAACUGAACUCACGCAGUAUAAUCGUAUGCUACAACUACACACAAAAAAAUGACAUACGCGUUCUGUGGAAGGUUAGUGACCUGCAUAGUAAAUAUUAAAAUUAAAAUUGUUUACAAGCUACGUACAGUAUCUACGCAGUUGAUACCACACAACAACUCACUGCAUUUUACGAUCUGUGCAAGCUGUUUUACAAUGAUUUCUCUGUAUCGCGUUAUACUUACAAGAACAUGCGUUACACCGUGACAAAUUUCUUUAUGGAUAACUCAGGGAAAGUUUGGCUAAUACGUACGAGUAUUUUUAAAACACACUGUAAUUGUGUAACAUAAUUAUCUCUCUACAGGCGAGUGCAUAACAGCGCUUAACGGCAGAAUGAAUUAUUAUUCAGCACUUUCUACAACAACAUACUACUCAGCACUCAAUGGUAAGCUUUGGUUUUUUACGUUCGCGUAAUUACCAGUUUAAAGUUUAACUGCAACAUGAGAGACAUUGAGCACGCACGUGGUGGGGUAAUUUAUUCGUUUCGCCACAUCUACGCUGAGCAGACUUUGCGAAGUUUACUUUGCGAAGCAUGUCAUACAAGCAUCUACAGCAUCAAGUCACAGGGUUGGCAAGUGUAUUUUUGAACCUUCAAAGCAGUCACGCAUACGGAAGAGUAGUUUCUGAUCCCAUAGAAGGAGCACCGUACAAUGAGAGACCGCUCUUAGUUCUAAGGAACGCAGCAGGCGCGUAAAUUGCCCAAUGCUAGUACCCUACAAAUUACAUAGUAUUAAUACAACAAUUUACAAUAAAACAAGUUUAUAAAACACGCACAUUAUAACACAUUAUUUCAUUCUGUCCUACAGAAUAUCAUACAUAUCCUUGUUCGUUGUAACUCACGUAAUUUAUUUUACUGAGGCAGUGACAAGCUGUAACGGUUGAGUAUAAAAAUGACGAGUGUCUGGCAUUGCCGCUCUUUCGGGAGCUUGGCAAGUUGCCGACGCUUUGUGUGCUCAAUUGGAAUGC